CAGUCGCCGCGGUAAUACAGAGGGUGCGAGCGUUAAUCGGAUUUACUGGGCGUAAAGCGUGCGUAGGCGGCUUCUUAAGUCGGAUGUGAAAUCCCUGAGCUUAACUUAGGAAUUGCAUUCGAUACUGGGAAGCUAGAGUAUGGGAGAGGAUGGUAGAAUUCCAGGUGUAGCGGUGAAAUGCGUAGAGAUCUGGAGGAAUACCGAUGGCGAAGGCAGCCAUCUGGCCUAAUACUGACGCUGAGGUACGAAAGCAUGGGGAGCAAACAGGAUUAGAUACCCCCGUAGUCCCUGUCCUUAUACA
rnacentral:rRNA from 1 species